AUAUAUAACUUGUUUUGUUUUCAAAUGUGAAUUUGGGGGAAGGGGUUGAAAAAAUCGGUUUGAUUUUCGUAUUGAAUUUAUGUGUGGUUAUGAAUUACCCAGUGAGGAUAGGAACUAGCUAUGCAGUGAAUCCUUGUUAUGUGUUUGUGACUGUUGAGAAGGGAUGAAAGUAUGUUGAAAUGUUUGCACUAGUAAACGUGUCUCGUUAAAAUGAACAAAAGGAUAAUGGUAAGUGUUAUCAGUUGGUGUUUGCCUAAUUGUCUAUGGUUGUAAUAGGGUGUAAAUAAAUAUGUAGCAGUGCUAGUUGCUACUUCUGUGCUACUUAUGUAGCAGGGUGUAAAUAAACACUACUAUAUAUAUAGUCAUUUCACGUUAUUAUAAGUACUAUACUAUGAUAUUAUUAUAUGAUAUGUUGCUAACUUUUCCCUGCAGGCAGAAAAACAAAAACUAAACUUUGGAACCCAAAUGAUGUCUUCAGAUUCUGUUCUUCCUCUCCCCGAAAAUCCCAUCAUUGUGGGGUUUGGUGGGGUUGGAGUGGAUUUUCUAGCAGUAGUGCCAACUUUUCCUAAACCUGAUUCCAAGAUCUGAACCAUUGAAUUCACGAUUUUUCCUUCUUUCAUUUCUUUCUUCUUCUUUAUUCUACUAUUAUUAUUGUUAUUACUAUUAUUGAUAUUAUUGUUACUUUUUUAGCACCUCAUGUCCUCGUGUAUUUGAUAUGUUUUUAGCAUAUUAGAAACACACAUGACACAUGAAUCAUCAUUAAUUAAAAUCUAUGACGUGGUUUUGGGUUUUGGGUCCAUGAACUUUUUGACGUCCACUUUAACCUUAAUUAACUAAACCAUAUAACCAACUCUAGCUACUCACUUUCGCUCCAGUGCCACCACUUUUUUUCUUUUAUCACUAAAAUAGAGUAAGUAAUUUGUCUUUGUUUAUUUAAAAUUAAAUAAUAUAAUCUUGUGUACAACUUUAAUCAUAGUGGGUCUAAUUUUAAUUUGAUCAUAGUGUUGCUGUUAACUUUAUAUUAUUAUAAUAUUAUGGAUAAGCAUUAUCAUUCUUACGUGAGUAACACUAUUUCUAUAUAAUUUUUUUCCUAAUUUUCUCUUCUAUCUCGGGCAAAUUCCUAGUGGACAAUUUUUCUUCUCAAAAAUUAAAAAAAAAAAUAUUUUUCUAGAAUAAUCAUUUCCUAACAACGGUGAAGUUAUGUGCUAAUUAGAGUGUUUAAUGUUUGUUUGUGAUUUUUGGUUUGACAGUUCCAAGGUGGUGGAAAUAAUGGAAAUACUAUGACAUGUGCUGCCCGGUUGGGCUUAAAGCCAAGAAUAAUUUCCAAUGUUUCUUGUUUGUUUGGCACAAGUUCUAUCAUAAUGUACAUAAGUACGUAACCUCAUGGUUGGGGCUAAUUUUCUUAUGACUAUGCAAUUUGAAAUCACUAGGUUUCAAAUGAUGGCCCGGGUAAGACUAUGCUGGAGGAACUAGAAGCUAAAGGGGUGGAUACCUCUUUUUUGGUGGUAUGUAUAUGUAUAUGUUUCAAUUUUUUUUAUUAAGCACGUGGAGAUUCUUCCUCAUGCAAAUGCAAAAAGGGAAGAAAAAAAGAAAAAAAAACAUUUUAGUAAGAGCAAAUGACAUUUGUCUUUUAAACCUUA